AUUGAACGCUGGCGGCAGGCCUAACACAUGCAAGUCGAACGAGUGGCGGACGGGUGAGUAAUGUCUGGGAAACUGCCCGAUAGAGGGGGAUAACUACUGGAAACGGUAGCUAAUACCGCAUACUAUCAGAUGAGCCCAGAUGGGAUUGGCUAGUUGGUGGGGUAACGGCUCACCUAGGCGACGAUCCCUAGCUGGUCUGAGAGGAUGACCAGCCACACUGGGACUGAUACACGGUCCAGACUCCUACGGGAGGCAGCAGUGGGGAAUAUGGCACAAUGGGCGCAAGCCUGAUGCAGCCAUGCCGCGUGUAUGAAGAAGGCCUUCGGGUUGUAAAGUACUUUCAGCGGGGAGGCGUUACCCGCAGAAGAAGCACCGGCUAACUCCGUGCCAGCAGCCGCGGUAAUAC
rnacentral:rRNA from 1 species